rnacentral:rRNA from 1 species
GUAGGGAAUAUUGGGCAAUGGUCGGAAGACUGACCCAGCCAUGCCGCGUGCAGGAAGACGGCCCUCUGGGUUGUAAACUGCUUUUAUCUGGGAAGAAAAAGGCCAUGCGUGGCAAAUUGCCGGUACCAGAUGAAUAAGCACCGGCUAACUCCGUGCCAGCAGCCGCGGUAAUACGGAGGGUGCGAGCGUUGUCCGGAUUGAUUGGGUUUAAAGGGUGCGUAGGCGGCUGAUUAAGUCAGCGGUGAAAGACUUCGGCUUAACCGGAGCAGUGCCGUUGAUACUGGUUGGCUUGAGUGUCGGAGGGGUACAUGGAAUUGAUGGUGUAGCGGUGAAAUGCAUAGAUACCAUCAGGAACACCGAUAGCGAAGGCAUUGUACUGGCCGACAACUGACGCUGAUGCACGAAAGUGUGGGGAUCGAACAGGAUUAGAAACCCGUGUAGUCC